CUGAAACCAGAGCGAUGACCCUUCAAAGAGAACACGUUUUUGACUUGAUCGACAAUGGGCUUCAUUCAACCGAAUAUCAACUUGAAGAUUUGUACUCAGGCGAGGAAAUAGGUUCUACAAGGGAGAAUGGCAUUCCAUCAGCGCAGGUUGUAGAUCUCACAGGAGAAGUCGGUAAGUAAGGUUAC